GACUGGAGCUAGAAGGGGGCAGGGAAAUGGGACGAUGACCAGAUGUGGCCCAUGGCAAGGCCGUGCAUUGUGAAGGGAGGAGGAGGGUCUGAGAUCCGGGAGCCCUGCAGAGAGUUUGCUGAAGAGUGAAGAAAGGACGGCGUUAGUAAUGGGAUGAGGGAUACUGGAGUCCGAAUUAACAUAGCACACAGAGAGAUAUUCAGGAAAAUACAUCAUAUCUUGCACUUGGGUGGAAAAGAGCAGAAAUCCUUGGUUAACAGGAUUAUACGCAAUGGUGCAGAAAGCAUUCUCUAAAGAAAAAUCAGAGAGGAAGAAACACUGCAUGGAGAAUCCAAGAAACACUCUAAGAAUUGAAGUUAAAAUGUCGGAGGAGGCCUCGUAUGUCUUCUUCUAGGAGGACUCUCAGCUGAUGUUGGUUUUUUUAGUCUGUAUGAGCGAUGGACAAGCUGUCACUACCCAUUAGAUUUUGGGUGGUCCCAGGGGACCAUCCCAAGUUUGAGGAAAGUUGGCAAUGGAAAAAGGAGCAUCUGAUAGGAGCAGUCAGUGAAGUCCUUGGGUGGCCUCCCUCACCUUGACAGUGUGAAUUAACAGCUUAUCUUCAUGGACAUGGGACAAGAGGAGACUGGAAAUCAUCUCCCACACCACCCUCUCCAAGACAAAUUCAUAUUUAACUUCUACUUCUGCUCUGUUGACUUUAUCCUAUGUAAAGUACAGAUUUACUGAGCACGAGACAAAUGCAUAACUGACUAUUUCUUUACCCUCUC
rnacentral:lncRNA from 1 species